CAUCACGUGGUGAGGUAGCAGUUAGAGAGAGAGAGAGAGAGUCGUGCAAUUCAUGACAGCGGUCGUGGUCAUUUCUGUAAAAGUGUGAACUUUAGAGAGAGAGAGUGAGGGUGGGGACCGGAACCUGCAGCUUGGCUUUGUCUUUUACUCCGUCUUUUUCUCCUCUCUCUCUCUCUUCUUUAUUGCUCCUGCCGACGACUCCUCUGCUGCUGACCCACUCCAUUUACUCCACCUUCCCUCACUUCCCUCAAUUUCUCAUUUUUUUAACUGUUGGAGAUUGGUUGGGCUUUUACUCCCCUGUCCUGUUUCUCUCUGUUCAGUGUAAUCAUUUAGGUCAUCAUAACCUCUACACCGCCUCUUUAUCUCCGCCCCAACCUGGGCCUGAGAGAAUCAUGGUGUCAUGGGCGAGAUAGAAUGAAAAAACUAAGGUGGGCGUUUUUGCUGCCGUUGCAAAUCAGUAAAAAUGGAAGCUUUCUUUUUGAGGGGAAUGUUGUCUGGCUCGAGGCCUUCGGUGGAAUCUCACUUUCUCUCUCUUCUUUUUCCAUGAUGGAGUUCUAAGAGAGCUUCGGAUGUGAAGUCUCGGACCAGGCUUCAUUCCCCCCAAUCACUGCUUCCCUCUCCAUGCCAUAAACUCUCAUGAGGUUCAGAUCAAGGUUGUUCAUGUUUUGCAAACAUUGAUCUGUAGGUUUUUUCCUUACUUAGCCAGUUCUAUUUUUCUUAACAUUUGUUUUUCAUGAAUACUGAGAGUGGAAACUGGAUGAAAGGUAAUAGAGGAGGACUGGAUAGAUUUUUGAUUUGUCUCCUAUGUGAUCUUAAGAUAUGAAUUUGAUUAGAUCCAUCCAUAGAUAUCAUAAAGGUAGCAUCUUUAUGCAAUCAUCAGAAUGCCUACAGAUCAAAUAAUGAUUAAAGUCCUUCGAAUUUUAUUAUUUUAAAUUUAAAGCAAUUUUCUUCCUUUUUUGUUCUUUCUAGCUUCUGCUUCUAUUUGGAAAUGACUACACAUCGAAAAAACAGUUUUUGCACAUGGCAAUAGUUGGAAUAGCUCUUAUUGUCUUCCUUAGCUCUCUUCUCUCUUAAUUUCCUGAAGAUUUUCCAACUCUUACAGAAUAAGAAAUGUAGGAAUUUAAUUCCUUAAUUUUUUAUGAAAAGAAAUUCACAGGUCUUGAUAUCAGCGCAUGCUUUAACUAAAGUUUGAAAAUUUUAGCCAUCUGGAGUACUGAAUUCCUUAACUUAUGAAGAUCGUCAUCCUUCCAUGAAAAAAAAAAAGGUAAAAAAAUAGUAAGUGCACAUCUCUAGAAGAUGCUCUCCCAGGACUUUGUUUUUAUCUUGGGUACCAGUUCUAUUUUUUUAUGCAGGGACAGCAAUAACAAAUCAACCAAGAGGUAUUCACGGGAGAAAAUGGCUACUCGUACCUCACAAUUAUUAUGUGUCAUGCUCAAGUUACUAUGUAUUUUAUUAUAUGUUGGCAGACCUUUUUUUUUUUUUAAUUUUUAAUCUAAUGUUUUUUGUGAUUCUUAAUCACCAAAACUUAAUUCAUUCAAACGAGCCUCUCACUCGAUUAAUUACGUGUUGACCGAUCCAUGGCCUCUUCUGCAAUCCCCGUACGUUGAUUUGAACCAGUAUCUUUCAGCACAGCCAUUUUUAUGACGAUGGAAGUAAAUGAUAUAUUUCGGCCUCAACGUUUUCCAAGGGAAGAUGCUCCCAAGGAAGCUCAUUUACUUCUCCAUAACAAAUGAACUCUAUGGCUCUUUAUGAGCCGGGAUACUUUUUUUAGUUAUCUCCUUCAUUUGAACUUUCGCUCUCUCUUUAUAUAAUCAUAUAAGUAUAUAAAGGAGAAAGCUCUUACUAGUAAACUACAAUUAAUUUUCCUGAGUGCAUGUUACGUCAUGACUUCAAACAUAGAGAUUUGUUCGGAUUCCAAUAAUAAUUAUGUUAUUGUAAUAUUCUGCUGUGUUAUAAGAAUAUUUCAUCAAUGUUAUUUGUAAAAAAUGAAGUGUUAUUCAAGUAUGGCUUGAUGUUAUUCAAUUACUCUACGGUGUUAUUCGAA